rnacentral:rRNA from 1 species
AUUGCAGUUGAAACUCUUAGUCUUGAGUACACAUGAGGUGGGCGGAAUGUGUGGUGUAGCGGUGAAAUGCAUAGAUAUCACAAGGAACUCCAAUUGCGAAGGCAGCUCACUGGGGUGUAACUGACGCUAAUGCACGAAGGUGUGGGUAUCAAACAGGAUUAGAUACCCUGGUAGUCCACACAGUAAACUAUGAAUACUCGCUGUUUGCGAUACACAGUAAGCGGCUAAGCGAAAGCAUCAAGUAUUCCACCUGGGGAGUACGUCGGCAACGAUGAUACUCAAAUGAAUAGACAGAGGG